UUUUUGUGCGUCGUGCAUCUGCGUCUUUCGAUCUCUCGGGAAUUAGUAGAGCAUGCAUUCGAAAAGGCAACAACAACAAAAAAGUCGAGGAAGCAAAGGAAACCCCUCGCGCGCCUCGCAGCCCGAUAAUUACUUUUUUGCGAGCCGGAUUAACACACAUGAAGCACCUACGCUUAAGGGAUUGUGGACGGAUGAUAAUUAGGUUCGCCCACGGGAACACGAUUCAAGAGAGCGGCGUACUCAGACGUUUAUUGUAGGAAGAGCAGGCCGUCUCCAGUUUUUAUUUCGUGGCGCGGUAAUCCGAGUCGAGAUACAGGCGAAAGCUCCACGUUUGAAACGUGUUUUCGCGAACGAAACAACCAAGUUCACGCUAGAACGAUUCGGACACAUGUUUGGGCUCUCUGGAUGCCCACGGUAUAUGGCAUAAUGCGCGUGUUAUCUCACGACUUUAAACGAUGUUUAACCAUAAAUCAAAAAAAAAUCAAAAAAGAAAAUUAAGAUUCUACUUCUAUUGAUUCACC